rnacentral:rRNA from 1 species
UACGUAGGGGUGCAAGCGUUUAAUCGGAAUUACUGGGCGUAAAGCGUGCGCAGGCGGUUUUGUAAGUCUGUCGUGAAAGCCCCGGGCUCAACCUGGGAAUUGCGAUGGAGACUGCAAGGCUUGAAUCUGGCAGAGGGGGGGUAGAAUUCCACGUGUAGCAGUGAAAAUGCGUAGAGAUGUGGAGGAACACCGAUGGCGAAGGCAGCCCCCCUGGGGUCAAG